rnacentral:rRNA from 1 species
CCUACGGGGUGCAGCAGUGGGGAAUAUUGGACAAUGGGGGCAACCCUGAUCCAGCCAUGCCGCGGGUGUGAAGAAGGCCCUCGGGUUGUAAAGCACUUUCAGUGAGGAAGAACGCCUGGUGGUUAAUACCCAUCAGGAAAGACAUCACUCACAGAAGAAGCACCGGCUAACUCCGUGCCAGCAGCCGCGGUAAUACGGAGGGUGCGAGCGUUAAUCGGAAUUACUGGGCGUAAAGCGCGCGUAGGUGGCUUGAUAAGCCGGUUGUGAAAGCCCCGGGCUCAACCUGGGAACGGCAUCCGGAACUGUCAAGCUAGAGUGCAGGAGAGGAAGGUAGAAUUCCCGGUGUAGCGGUGAAAUGCGUAGAGAUCGGGAGGAAUACCAGUGGCGAAGGCGGCCUUCUGGACUGACACUGACACUGAGGUGCGAAAGCGUGGGUAGCAAACAGGAUUAGAUACCCUGGUAGUC